rnacentral:rRNA from 1 species
AGAGGGUGCGAACGUUGCUCGGGAUUUACUGGGGCGUAAAGCGCGUGUAGGCGGACUCGCAAGUCGGGUUGUGAAAUCCCUGGGGCUCAACCUAGGGAACUGCAUCCGAAACUGCUUGUCUUGAGUAAUGGAGAGGGUGGCGGAAUUCCCGGUGUAGAGGUGAAAUUCGUAGAUAUCGGGAGGAACAUCAGUGGCGAAGGCGGCCACCUGGACAUUUACUGACGCUGAGACGCGAAAGCGUGGGGAGCAAACAGGAUUAGAUACCCUGGUAGUCCACGCCGUAAACGAUGAGCACUAGGUGCAGCGGAUAUUGACCUUUGCUGUGCCGUAGCUAACGCGUUAAGUGCUCCGCCUGGGGAGUACGGCCGCAAAGGCUAA